GACGAAGCGUACGAACGUUAUUCGGAAUCACUGGGCUUAAAGGGUGCGUAGGCUGCGCAGCAAGUUGGGUGUGAAAUCCCUCGGCUUAACCGAGGAACUGCGCCCAAAACUGCUGUGCUCGAGGGAGAUAGAGGUGAGCGGAACUUAGGGUGGAGCGGUGAAAUGCGUUGAUAUCGGGAGGAACACCUGUGGCGAAAGCGGCUCACUGGACCACAACUGACGCUGAUGCACGAAAGCUAGGGGAGCAAACAGG
rnacentral:rRNA from 1 species